AACAAAAGAGAUGAGAGACAAUUAUUACCACCAGUGUACCUCUCCUUCAGGAUUAAUAGCAGAUAUCAGCUGUUCCUUAAUGGCAAAUAACUAUUUCAUUAGGAUAAAUACUACAGGAAAAAUAUGAAGUGCGUAAUACUUCUGCAAGACUUAAUCUUAUAAUUAAUGCUUUAAUUCUGAAAGAUUAAUAUGAACCUACUAGACAUGAAUAAUAGCAAGUAGUAUAAAAUUGUGCAGCACUUCCCUGGGAUUUCCCAAUAGAGGAUUUCAUCAUACAUUAUAAAAAUGAAUGAAUAUUUAAAACACCUUUGGCAAGGCAGUCAUUACAAUCAGACUGUUUUUGAUACAAAUCCCCACUUCAACUAGAACAAGGGGGAGUAAGUCUCAUAUGCCCAACAGAUUCUGCUGAGCCAAACACCUAAGCAGUUCUGUUUCCCAAAUUUUCACGCUUGCUCAGGAGAGAAUGAACCUGGCUGUACCUCUAUACCAUUAAAUAAACUAUGGCCAAGAAGUGAUGUAAUACCAAUUUGCUCCAAGGCAACAGAUGCAAUAAUUCCUUUCCUUUACCAAGCAGAGGAGCAGAAACAUACCCAUUGUGCAAGUGGGGAGACUGAGGCACGGAGGGAGCAAACAGCCUGCCCAGGAAGAGCCAGCAGCUGCAUCCCAUUCAUGAGAUUUUCUCAGUUUUCAAACAGCAGUGCAGGAGAAGUCUGCUCAUAUGCGCUGAAUAAUUUGUAAUCUAAGAGUUGUUACUAGGCCUUCUGGUACAAAGCUCAUCUUCUGUUUGUAGCUUUCCAAACAACAGAUUUUACAUAUUCUCAGUAGAGCCGACCAAAACAAAAUUCAGUUUUCUGAUUCAAAACAUUUUCUUUAGGAUGUAAGCUAAAAAAGUUUCAUAGGCAGAAUAAAUUUCAAACUUGGCUUAGAGUUUCAAAGUCCAAAUCUCAGCUGCUUUCAGAAAGUGAUCUAUACACUGCAUAUAUGGAAUUAUAAGUGCAUCCUUUGGGAACACCUCGCAAAACUGCGUAACAGACUGUGCAUAGAUCAUGAAAGAGAGACGCGCAAUUAAACCAAUGAGAAAUCUAAUGAGACUUCACUAAUAGAGUACAAACGCCUUGACUGAAGGAUAUAAUGGCUAAGGAGAAGAGGUAAACAAUAACUCAGAGAAACAGGCAGAAUUAUACCACCAUAGAUCGAAAAAGGAAUAAUAAGGAAGUUUUCAAUACUGUGAUCACUGCUUGCCUGGAAUAACCAACAGCUGCUUUUUUAGUUUUCAUUGUUUCUGCUAAUAAACAACAAAGAAUAAUAAAAAAGAAAAUGACCCUUUAAAGUACGCUAUAAUAAGUAUUGAAUGAGUAACUUCAUAUAAUUAAGUUGCAAUUAGAUCACAGAGCUUGGUAUGUAAUCAACUGCAGGUGGGAAACUUGAGUAAUUACAUCAAGUGAUUUGGUUUGCAAAAGGCAAUAUUGAAGUUGACAGUAAGGAUGGGAAAAGUGCUAAUCGAGUUGGAGUCAUCUAGGUAACUUAGCUAGUUGAGAGGUUUGUUUACCUUGCGAUUGUUCAGUGUGUUAAAAAGCAGCCCUGCUUCUCUGUUGUCCGGCACCCUGGCAGUCCUCGGCUCCUGAGUGGAGCACAAGGCUUAAAUGAGAUGACUGGAACGUUGGGAGACCGAGAGAGCGGCAGGGAAACUGCCAGCCUCCACGGUGUAUUCUCACUAACGAGCAGGGGUGAAAGGAUUUGAUAGUUUUUAUGUUGCAGACCCUUGCUCGAUAUAACUUAAAAACUGUGGUUUAUAUUAAAACCCCCUCAAGUCUGUCUAUAUGUAUUUUAAUGCCAUGUAUGUAUACAAACAUUACUUUACAUCUAUAUACUAAAAAUACGCCUUGCAGCAGUGGAGUGACCCUCGAGGAUGGGAACAGUGCCUCUUGCUAUGUGAGCAGGUACUGAGACACGGUUCAGCCUUCCUGCAGAUGAAGCCAUAGAAUGCAUCAGGGCUGUAUGGACUUCAUGAUGUUGAGGAGCAGUGGGGAAGGAAAAGGAGGAAGACUCCUGCCGGCCCUGGAUCUUGCAGCAGCCAUGAAAACCACAUGUCGUUUCUCCUCCCAAGGCUUUUCUCCUUACCGUUUUCACAGCCACUUUCAGUGCCAAGCUUCCCUGCCAGGACUGCCUGCUGACAGCAAAAGAAGGGCUAAUGGAGGCAAACACACACCUCCAGAGGAAAAGUAAUUUUUGAAGCGUUCAGCAGCAUCCAUGCCAAAGAAGAUCUGUCUCCUUAGGUCUACAGCCCCAGAUCCUUACACGUAACUUUUUAAUAUGUCAUCCUGAGUUUGAAUAAAUUUAAAAAAAAAAAAAAAUUGGCUUUCAUUGAGGGUGGUGUACAGAAAAGGCUCUGCCCAGCCCCACUUCCACUGCAGAUUGCUGUAGAUAAAAGACAAGCUUUCAUAUUUUUCCCCCCAAAAUCUAUGCCAAAUACAAUGGGCUGCUAUGUGAGCAGGAAGAGGAAAUCACUUCCAAAAAAAAUAUUACUUUCUUUUCUUGCUUUAGCUUGUGGUAAUGUCACCCUGCUGAGAUAGUUUGUGGCAAUUGAUGCUUUUUGAAUGGAACAUCACUUCUUCAUCCUGGAAGGCUUUUCUCUAGGAGAAGAAACACAAAGUAUCCACCUGCCAAGAAGAAAUGCUGAAUUCACAAGGCUGUUUGUAUCUCUGAAUUUCAGAUCAUGCUUUUCUCCCCUUACUUAAAAAUUCCCACAGGAAAACCCAGUUUGAGUUUGAAACUUGAAGAGCAAUACAUCUACCAACAGCCUGGCAUGUAAUUUGUUGGGCUGCUGCUGCUGUAACCAGCUGAAAGUCUGAUCCUCCCUGUGCCCUGUGGAGGUUCCUGGGGAAGGUAACCACUGGGAAGAGAUUUUGGAAAUACUGCCAGGGAAAACAACAUUUUUGGAGAUUUUUUCAGACUGACUGUGCUGCAAUAGACAUCCCAUUUUAGUUUUCUCCCACUUGAGUUCACAUUCUUUGUAGACGAGAUUACCACAUGUUCCCUGGAAUCAGAAAUGUUUUCUUUUCAAGGCUAGUUGGUGGUGUUUACCAAGAAGUGUUUUCUUUAAACUGCAGAGCACUGUGGCCAUCUGCAGGUUAUCACACACUUUCAUGCCUAUUUUUUCUUCUAUAAUAGGCCACUCUUUCCAAGAACACAAAAACCUGGAAGAGACGCUUUGUACAUCAGGACACGAUAGCAACAGUCCCAAUCCUUUCGUUAGGCAUAGGCAGCUUUUUUGCCAAGCACUUAUCACACUGAUUCUUUGUGAGUAUAUUUAAUCAGCCUAUUUGUCAUUUAUAAGGCAUCAGGAUUGCACUUUUUGCUGGCAAAGAGCUAGUCUUGUCCAAAGUUCUUACAAAUAAGAUUUUUUUUUUUUCUCUAUAAAUAAAUAUUUAAAAUAGAUAUGUAAUAUCACCCUGUGAUAUAACUACUGGCAGAAGAAGACGCGUUGAACGGUUGGAUAACUCUCCUCUAGGACUAAGCUGCCGCCCCAAGGGCAGACAUGCCUAUCCUGUUGGCUGGGCUUUUCUUGUGUCGGCGUGACCCUGCUGCACCAGCUCAACCUGAACCCGGCAAAAACAGAGAAACAACACGAACCUUCAGCCAGGUCACCAUCUUACUGAUAACCCAAGGCAGGAAAGAGGGAGUGAGGAAAAGGAUGCUGCCUUUUGGCAGUCGUCCACAGCUGGAUUGCCUUAAAUCCAUUACCAAACUGUAUCCAGUCAUCUCACAUGAGCAGUAACUCAUUUGCUCUUUGCUGGUAUUUGCAAUUUUUACUGUCCUUCCUGUGCCAACAUGCAGGACUGUUGCAGGCUAUCAAAUAUAGCGCUUCAAUAUAUCUGGGAAUGAUGUGUGCGUACGUAUAUAUGCAUGUGGAAUAGAAGAGAGAAACGGUGAUGCUCUCUGGUGAAAAGGGAGAGAAAACAGUGCUGUAAUAACAAAAGCUAGUGAUAAGGAAGAGAAAGCAAAAGGACAAGGGGGAAAAUUAACAGACUACAGAAAAAUUAAAGACCAACGCACAGAAAAGAGGAGAUAGUAUAAAGAUGAAAGCCUUGUGGGCAGUUAGCCUGGAAUUGCUGUGCCGGGCACAUCACUUGGUCUGGGUCACAGCCCCAGGUUGUCCCGGGUAACGACUGGUUUUAUGCAUCUGUCUGAAAAAACACUUUUGUUUUCUGAACAGGUAACUGGGGAAAUGUGGCUAGUGAACUUCAUUGUGUUCUGGGCUGGACAGAGUAAUGGGCUGACACACAGGAGCGCUCUGCCGCUGGGAAGCGAGCAGAGCUGGAUGAGCAGGAGGGCCCCAGGAGAGAAGGGCUAGACAGGCUAGCAAGGCAAAUGUACCACAGCUGCGAGACCGCCGUGACACAGCUAACUAUUUGGUUUAUUGCAAACCAAUUCCAAGACUAUGAUCUUGCACACAGAAACAUCAACAACUUACUUGGCCGGCUACAACUAUGAUUUACAUCUGUCCAGCCUGCAAGUUGGAAACCAGAGUAAGCUACGCCUGGUAACAUCAGCACCACGAGUCCCAGAGGAGAUGCCGGGAUGCCAGCUGCACCGGAGUGGGCUCACCCGAGCAGCAGAUGGAAUUUCUGUAAUUUCCACAGUCAGUUUUGAGUAGACUACAGAUGUGAAAGGUCUGUUGGGAAACAAGCUUUGUCAAGGAAGCAGCACAAGGCACAACAUUUCAUAUAGGACCUAGAGGUUAAGUGGAAAUUAAUGUACAAUCACCAAUAUCUUUCCCAGAAACCGUACUGCGGAGACAACAUUGACUCCAGUACUGCAGAACUUGUUCCAAACCAGGAGAAAGCUGCCCCCUGGUUCAGGGUGUCAGGGAGACUGAAGACCUGGCUGAAAAGGACAUGGUAUGAGUGCAAAGAAAGAACAGGGGAAAAGCCAGUGAAGGCUGGCCUGCCGUGGGACUGCGAAAUGAUGGCCCACAAUGCUACUUCCAGGUGACAGAAGGACCCCAGGUUAGGCUGUAUUUCGACUGCAAGUCAUUGUUGCAAGUACUCUGUAAGAAAUAAAGUAAUUGUAGGACUGUGUAAUAAUUGAAAUGAUCUUCUUGGUUUCCAGGCUGUUAUUCUGAAAUGUUUUCCGCAAGAAAAUAGUCCUAAUUUGCGUGCAUCUCACCAGCAAAUCUUUAGUCACAUAAACAACAACUGUUACCAUCUUCUGCUGCGUUUUCCUAUUCUGUUUUUCUUCCAAGUCAUAAAAAGGUCGAUGGACUCUUACUGGCACUACAGCUGAUGGAUCAGUCAUGAAAAUGCCUGAACCAAUAAAGAUCUGUAGCAUAAAAAAAUGAGUAAGAUCUAAGGAACUUAAUUUGGCAUAUAUGAGUUUAGCAUAUAGUAGAAAAUUCUAUUAAUAGAAAAUAGAUCUCU